GACGAACGCUGGCGGCGUGCUUAACACAUGCAAGUCGAACGAAGUGGCGAACGGGUGAGUAACGCGUAAUCAACCUGCCCUUCAGAGGGGGAAAACAGUUGGAAACGACUGCUAAUACCGCAUACUGAAGGAGGGGAUUGCGUCUGAUUAGCUAGUUGGAGGGGGAACGGCCCACCAAGGCGAUGAUCAGUAGCCGGUCUGGGAGGUGUAACGGCCACAUUGGGACCUGGGAACGGCCCAGACUCCUACGGGAGGCAGCAGUGGGGAAUCUUUCGCAAUGGACGAAAGUCUGACGGAGCAACUCCGCGUGAGUUAUGACGGCCUUCGGGUUGUAAAGCUCUGUUAAUCGGGACGCGGUACCGGAAUAGAAAGCCACGGCUAACUACGUGCCAGCAGCCGCGGUAAUAC
rnacentral:rRNA from 1 species